GUGACCUCAAAUCAGGUAGGACUACCCGCUGAACUUAAGCAUAUCAAUAAGCGGAGGAAAAGAAACUAACAAGGAUUCCCCUAGUAACUGCGAGUGAAGCGGGAAAAGCUCAAAUUUAAAAUCUGGCAGUCUUUGGCUGUCCGAGUUGUAAUCUAGAGAAGUGUUAUCCGCGCUGGACCGUGUACAAGUCUCCUGGAAUGGAGCAUCAUAGAGGGUGAGAAUCCCGUCUUUGACAUGGACUGCCAGGGCUUUGUGAUGCGCUCUCAAAGAGUCGAGUUGUUUGGGAAUGCAGCUCAAAAUGGGUGGUAAAUUCCAUCUAAAGCUAAAUAUUGGCGAGAGACCGAUAGCGAACAAGUACCGUGAGGGAAAGAUGAAAAGAACUUUGGAAAGAGAGUUAAACAGUACGUGAAAUUGCUGAAAGGGAAACGCUUGAAGUCAGUCGCGUCGUCCAGGGAUCAACCUUGCUUUUGCUUGGUGCACUUUCUGGUUCGAUGGGUCAGCAUCAAUUUUGACUGUUGGAAAAAGGUCAAGGGAAUGUGGCAUCUUUGGAUGUGUUAUAGCCCUUGGUCACAUACAAUGGUUGGGAUUGAGGAACUCAGCACGCCGCAAGGCCGGGUUUUAAACCACGUACGUGCUUAGGAUGCUGGCAAUAUGGCUUUAAUCGACCCU
rnacentral:rRNA from 1 species